rnacentral:rRNA from 1 species
UACGAAGGGGGCUAGCGUUGCUCGGAAUCACUGGGCGUAAAGGGUGCGUAGGCGGGUUUUUAAGUCAGGGGUGAAAUCCUGGAGCUCAACUCCAGAACUGCCUUUGAUACUGAAGAUCUUGAGUCCGGGAGAGGUGAGUGGAACUGCGAGUGUAGAGGUGAAAUUCGUAGAUAUUCGCAAGAACACCAGUGGCGAAGGCGGUCUGCUGGGCAGUUGCUGACACUGGAGGCG